rnacentral:rRNA from 1 species
UACGAAGGGGGCUAGCGUUGUUCGGAAUUACUGGGCGUAAAGGGCGCGUAGGCGGCCGAUUAAGUUAGAUGUGAAAGUCCUGGGCUCAACCUGGGGACUGCAUUUAAUACUGGUUGGCUUGAAUUCGGGAGAGGAUAGCGGAAUUCCCAGUGUAGAGGUGAAAUUCGUAGAUAUUGGGAAGAACACCGGUGGCGAAGGCGGUCCCCUGGGCCGGAACUGACGCUGAGGCGCGAAAGCGUGGGUAGCAAACGGG